UGGGGAAUCUUAGACAAUGGGGGAAACCCUGAUCUAGCCAUGCCGCGUGAGCGAUGAAGGCCUUAGGGUUGUAAAGCUCUUUCAGCUGGGAAGAUAAUGACGGUACCAGCAGAAGAAGCCCCGGCUAACUCCGUGCCAGCAGCCGCGGUAAUACGGAGGGGGCUAGCGUUGUUCGGAAUUACUGGGCGUAAAGCGCACGUAGGCGGAUUAGUCAGUCAGAGGUGAAAUCCCAGGGCUCAACCCUGGAACUGCCUUUGAUACUGCUAGUCUUGAGGUCGAGAGAGGUGAGUGGAAUUCCGAGUGUAGAGGUGAAAUUCGUAGAUAUUCGGAGGAACACCAGUGGCGAAGGCGGCUCACUGGCUCGAUACUGACGCUGAGGUGCGAAAGCGUGGGGAGCAAAACAGGAUUAGAUACCCUGGUAGUCCACGCCGUAAACGAUGAUGCCAGUCGU
rnacentral:rRNA from 1 species